rnacentral:ncRNA from 1 species
AAACCCCGGGUUUUUAAAAAAAAAAUUUUUAAAAAAAAAACCGGGGGUUUAAAAACCCCCCCGUUUUUUUUUAAACCGGGGUUUUAAAAAAAACCCUUUUUAAAAAAAACGGGUUUUUUUU